GCUGAUAUGGCCGAGUCGUUAAGGCGAGUGAUUUGAAAUCACUUGGGCGUUGCCCGCGUAGGUUCAAAUCCUGCUGUCAGCG
rnacentral:tRNA from 2 species